rnacentral:rRNA from 1 species
CCCUUAGAUGUUCUGGGCCGCACGCGCGCUACACUGAUGCAUUCAACGAGUCUAAAACCUGCUCUGAUAGGGGUGGGUAAUCUUUUGAAUGUGCAUCGUGAUUGGGAUAGAUGAUUGCAAUUUUUCAUCUUCAACGAGGAAUAUCUAGUAAACGCAAGUCACCAGCUUGCAUUGAUUACGUCCCUGCCCUUUGUACACACCGCCCGUCGCUCCUACCGAUUGAAUGAUCCGAUGAAUAUCAUGGAUUGAGGAUGCAAGCAGGUUCGCCUGUCUUCAUCUUCGAGAAGUGAAGUAAAUCUUAUCAUUUAGAGGAAGGAGAAGUCGUAACA